AAUCUUAUAGUCAAAAAUGAUAUUAAAUUGCAAGUUUAAAGGUGUUUUAAUACUAAGAUUU
rnacentral:tRNA from 1 species